rnacentral:rRNA from 1 species
AGUGAACGCUGGCGGUAGGCCUAACACAUGCAAGUCGAACGGCAGCACAGUAAGAGCUUGCUCUUACGGGUGGCGAGUGGCGAACGGGUGAGGAAUACAUCGGAAUCUACUUUUUCGUGGGGGAUAACGUAGGGAAACUUACGCUAAUACCGCAUACGACCUACGGGUGAAAGCAGGGGAUCUUCGGACCUUGCGCGAUUGAAUGAGCCGAUGUCGGAUUAGCUAGUUGGCGGGGUAAAGGCCCACCAAGGCGACGAUCCGUAGCUGGUCUGAGAGGAUGAUCAGCCGCACUGGAACUGAGACACGGUCCAGACUCCUACGGGAGGCAGCAGUGGGGAAUAUUGGACAAUGGGCGCAAGCCUGAUCCAGCCAUACCGCGUGGGUGAAGAAGGCCUUCGGGUUGUAAAGCCCUUUUGUUGGGAAAGAAAAGCAGCAGGUUAAUACCCCGCUGUUCUGACGGUACCCAAAGAAUAAGCACCGGCUAACUUCGUG